UACGAAGGGGCUAGCGUUGCUCGGAAUCACUGGGCGUAAGGGUGCGUAGGCGGGUCUUUAAGUCAGGGGUGAAUCCUGGAGCUCAACUCCAGAACUGCCUUGAUACUGAGGAUCUUGAGUUCGGGAGAGGUGAGUGGAACUGCGAGUGUAGAGGUGAAAUUCGUAGAUAUUCGCAAGAACACCAGUGGCGAAGGCGGACUCGCUGGCCCGAACUGGACGCUGAGGUGCGAAAGCGUGGGA
rnacentral:rRNA from 1 species